UACGUAGGGCGCAAGGCGUUAUCCGGAAUUAUUGGGCGUAAAGAGCUCGUAGGCGGUUUGUCGCGUCUGACCGUGAAAGUCCGGGCUCAACUCCGGAUCUGCGGUGGGUACGGGCAGACUAGAGUGAUGUAGGGGAGACUGGAAUUCCUGGUGUAGCGGUAGAAAUGCGCAGAUAUCAGGAGGAACACCCGGUGGCGAAGGCGGGUCUCUGGCCGGAUGACUGACGCUGAGGAGCGAAGACGUGGGGAGCAAACAGG
rnacentral:rRNA from 1 species